AUGAGUCGGGGGGCCAUGCCCCAGCCCGGAGCGUGGCCGGGCACAAGCUGCGCCGAGAAGUCGGCGCGGGAGGCGGGCGCCGUGGCGGCCAGCGAGCAGCCCCGGCCCGCGACGCGGUGCCCGGCGGAGCACGAGGAGGACAUGUACCGAGCUGCGGAUGAAAUCGAGAAGGAGAAGGAAUUACUCAUCCAUGAAAGGGGGCCAUCAGAACUCCGACUGAGUGUUGCUCCAGAAAUGGACAUCAUGGACUACUGCAAAAAAGAAUGGAGGGGGAAGACACAAAAAGCUACCUGCAUGAAAAAGGGCUACGAGGAAGUCGCUCAGAAAUUCACCUCCAUCCGGCGUGUCCGUGGUGAUAAUUACUGUGCGCUGAGGGCGACCCUGUUCCAGGCUAUGAGCCAGCCGGCCGAGCUGCCCCCCUGGCUGCAGGACCCCGAGCUCACACUGCUACCUGAGAAACUCCUCAGCAGGCACAGCUGGAUCCAGCAGUGGAAGCUUGGUCUGCAGUUUGCUGGGCGGCGCGAGGACCUGGCUGACAGGAUUAAGGAGUCCCUCACUCUGCUCAGGAAGAAGUGGGCAGGCUUGGUGGACAUGCGAACCGCUGAGGCGAGGCAGGCUGCUUGUGACGAGCUGUUCACCAGCCAGGAGGAGGAGUACAGCCUCUACGAGGCGGUCAAAUUUCUAAUGCUCAACAGAGCCAUCGAACUCCAUGAGGACAGAGAGCAGGGGCGGGACGUCCCGUUCUUCGCGGUGCUCCUGUUUGCGAGGGACACGUCCAGUGACCCCGGACAGCUGCUGCGGAACCACCUAAACCAAGUGGGACACACCGGUGGCCUUGAACAGGUGGAGAUGUUCCUUCUUGCCUAUGCCGUGCGGCAUACCAUCCAGGUGUACCGGCUCUCCAAGUACAACACGGAGGAGUUCAUCACCAUCUACCCCACCGACCCCCCUGAGGACUGGCCAGUGGUGACGCUGAUCGCCGAGGAUGACCGGCACUAUAACGUCCCUGUCAGGGUAUGUGAGGAGACAAGUCUGUGAGCGUCACACCGCCCCGGACAGCCUGGCAGGCGCGUGAAGGCACCAGCACUUCCUUGGCUUGGACUUGCUGCUCUUCAGGGCCUCUUAGACUCUGUGAGAACUCCCCCACAUCCUUGCAGAAUGAUCCCUGGGGUCUCCUGCAUCUCUCUCAGCCAGGUUGCACUGGGACGGCCUGAGGACUGGUUUUUAAUCUAAGACUUUCCCAGCGCUCCGCCCUCCUCUACGGCCAGAGAUCUCAAUAGGACUGCUGAGCUCGCCGUGGGCAGGCCACCUUCGUUUUCUCCACAGAGCACCUGCUUCCUGCCAGAGGACACUCACCGUGAAGAGAAGAAAUGCCCCACGUCAGUCCUGCCCUGUGUGCCGAGCACAACUCAAUACGUGAGAGAGACACUGGGGAUCAGGGUCCCCACUGGGAACAGACACUCCAGGACUCUUAAUAAUUGUCACGAACGUAUCCAUUUGCUUUGGGAAGAUGGCUAUCACUGAAGUCAGACUGGACUUCAGAGCAGCCGAGUGGCUUUCACCUCAUGCAUUGCUCUUGUUCCUCCGUGAACAGAAAUGGUGGUCUUCCCACCACGUGGUGCUGGCCGGAGCCCACGGGGUGCAUCUGGUUUGGCUUGCUUUGUGUCUCCAGCCUUGGUCCGACUCCGAGUUCCGACUGCUGCUCAGCUUGGCGGUGCCGCAGGAAACAAGUGCAGGAGCCCCUUGACCAACUGUACAACUGAUGUCUCUUUUUCGGAGUCUGCAAUUCACUGCGCAGAUGGGAUCUCCUUUCUUCUUCCUGGUCUUGAGUUGGUCGGGUGACGCCAGCAGGAUAGAAAGUGGAUGGAGAGCAGAAUGGAGACAGGAUGAUGAUCCAGGUCCAGAGAGCACGGUGUUAGUACUGUGGUACUGACAGGAAAGUCAGCCACUCCUUAAGCAGCCUUACCUUUGAGCUCACUUAAAGGGACAUUGAAACCUGGAAGGAUUUGCUGUAACACAUUCUUUCUGUUGAAUUGACUUCGCUCUUCAGAGCAUUUCCUGGGCUCCUGGGCUCCUGUGCACCUGCACUACACUCAGUAACCGUGCACACACUCCACUGCUUCCGCUCAUGCACAUGGAACAAGAAGUUAGUGUGCAGCCUUUCGCUUUGGAUCUAGGACUGUGAUCUGGAAAUGUGGACAGUUCCUCUUCUUUCACUUACACUGCGGAGUGCUUUAAGUGCACAGACCAGGGUUACACUUUAUACAUCAACGCCUUACUUUGUUGACAUGGUUAGAGUCCAGAGAUCAGGUUGAUAAGUGAAAUCAUGUAAAACUAGACGAUGAACCUAUCAGACUGGAAGAUGGUUGGAUCAAUAUAUAACUGCCAAAUUAAACAUUACUGUUAAACUACCAAGAACCUUGACCCAACCUAGCAAUCACAACCAGCAUUACUCUCGCCUUGCUGUUUUUCUCUUACGAUCAGACAUCUGUGGUUAGUUCAUAAAUGAGAAACGUUGGCUAACAAUCACCGGUGAGCCGGUAUAUAGCCAUGGACCCUUGGUGCACUAGUGAAAGUUCAGUCCACGGUUUGAGGGCUUCCAGGCCUGACUGAAGUGCUCUGCCUGCAUAGCUCCUCCCCAGCUGCCCCACUCCACAGGACUCCAGGUGACUCCCCCCCACCCCCUCUUUUCCUAAGAGCUACUUUGCUAGACGCCCUUAAGAAAGCCAGAAAUAAUUUUCAGAAGCAAAAACCAUUCGGGAUGCUUGGAUGUGAAACUCAAAACCUGGCUGCCCGGAGCCAGCUUCGACCCUCAGUGCCCCAUGGGUUUCUGUGCCUACUUGGAAGAAAAAAAAGUCUCGCUGUGACGGAAAUCUGGAAUGCGUGAAACAUCCGAAUUUCCCAAGUAGUUGCAUAAAGGCCUGGUACGGUAUCAGUUUUAUCUAAUAACCUGAUAAUAAUGUAUCAGAUUAUCUAGUCACCUGAACACUGUACAAACAAGUGAACAUAGAAACACAGACUGCUUUGAGGUCAGAGUCUCAGGUGGCCUUAAAUCCAGGCAGCAGAGACCCGUGCCUGGGCCUCGGUUCUGAACGAAGAGCUCAAUGAGUGGAAGGUCUUGAGUCUGCAAAUUCAUGUUUCUAAAAGUCCAUCUUGAGCCCACCUAGACACCCCCCACACACACACUUGUGGAGUCCAUUCCAAGUCAGCAACCCUGUGUGGACAGUGGAUGUGCCCCACAAGGGGUUUUCCAGGCUCUGAUCUUUCCUUGGGUAGCCAGCCGCAGCUGUCUCCCACAGAGCAGCUGGUGGGCCGAAACUGCUGUGCUCUCUCCUGCUGGCUUGGACAGAAUUCUAAUACUUAAAGCUGAACUGUUCGGAAAAUGUCCUGAGCCAGCCCUUUUCAGGGGCAAGAGGCCAGAGGCCUCGCUGACAGACACGUGCAGUGAAUGUGUGAAUAGCGACCGAAAGCUGACGCUCAAUACGUGCCUGAUGUAGUUUAUAACUUGGAAUAAUGAAAACGCAAACGCCAAAAACCCUGGUUCGACCGUGGCCUUUCCCCUAGGAGUCAGUAGCACAUGGGGCCAGGAGCCCAGGGCCGUGACCAGAGCCCGGGCUCUGUGUGUCCAUGAAAGGGGGUGGACGGGGCUAGCUGGACAGAUUUCUUAAGCUUUCACGAUGGGCUUGGCAAAAUCCCAUUUGAUGAAUUUUUUUCAUGAUAAAUUGGAAUUUAUUACUGGGAGUGGGAUAGUAAUAUAGUAUUUAUAACUUAUGUGAAUUAUAAUUUCGUAUA